UACGGAGGAUCCAAGCGUUAUCCGGAUUUAUUGGGUUUAAAGGGUGCGUAGGCGGCCUAUUAAGUCAGGGGUGAAAGACGGUGGCUCAACCAUCGCAGUGCCUUUGAUACUGAUAGGCUUGAAUACACUAGAGGUAGGCGGAAUGUGACAAGUAGCGGUGAAAAUGCAUAGAUAAUGUCACAGAACACCGAUUGCGAAGGCAGCUUACUAUGGGUGUCAUUUGACGCUGAGGCACGAAAAAGCGUGGGGGGAUCAAA
rnacentral:rRNA from 1 species